GGAAGUAAAAGUCGUAAUAAGGUUUCCGUAGGUGAACCUGCGGAAGGAUCAUUAAUGAGUUGUCAUGGGGUUCGAUGCUGGCAGCCAGUUUUUGGAUGCAUGUGCUUGCCCUAACAAUCAUCUUCUUCCAAACACCUGUGCACAUUUUUGAGGGAGUCUUGAGUUGGUUGCCGCUCUUGGGUGAUUUUCUCACAUUCCCUUAAAUCAUUAUACGCUAUUAACAAUGUUGAACGUGCUCUGUGCCGCAAGGCCAUUAAUAUAAUACAACUUUUAACAACGGAUCUCUUGGCUCUC
rnacentral:misc_RNA from 1 species